rnacentral:sRNA from 2 species
UUUUAGCCCGGAUGGAAACGGCAUCUUUUUUCUUUCAUUGCGAUUACGAAAAGUCGUAACAGAUUACUUCACUCCGUUUGCAAUGACAGAAAAAAAUAUAGUGGACAGCCGGACGGAUC